GAUGAACGCUGGCGGCGUGCCUAAUACAUGCAAGUCGAACGAGGAGCCCUGACAUGAGUAUUCGUACGAGUAGAUGGGAUUUCCUAGUGGCGAACGGGUGAGUAACGCGUUGGUGACCUGCCUCGAAGUGUGGAAUAACUCCGGGAAACUGGAGCUAAUACCUCAUAUGGUCAGUGGAUUUAGAAACCACUGUCUAAAGGUCUUCGGAUCGCUUCGAGAGGGGCCUGCGUCCCAUCAGCUAGUUGGUAGGGUAAUGGCCUACCAAGGCGACGACGGGUAGGGGACCUGAGAGGGUGAUCCCCCACAAUGGAACUGAAACACGGUCCAUACACCUACGGGUGGCAGCAGUAGGGAAUAUUGCACAAUGGGCGAAAGCCUGAUGCAGCAACGCCGCGUGUGCGAUGAAGGCCUUCGGGUUGUAAAGCACU
rnacentral:rRNA from 1 species